rnacentral:rRNA from 1 species
ACCACCAGGAGUGGAGCCGCGGCUUAAUUUGACUCAACACGGGGAAACUCACCCGGCCCGGACACCGUAAGGAUUGACAGAUUGAGAGCUCUUUCUUGAUUCGGUGGGUGGUGGUGCAUGGCCGUUCUUAGUUGGUGGAGCGAUUUGUCUGGUUAAUUCCGAUAACGAACGAGACUCUAGCCUAUUAAAUAGUCCACCGCCGGUGAAUCGUAGCGGUGUUAAUGCGUACUUCUUAGAGGGACUAGCGGCGCUCAGCCGCACGAGAUUGAGCAAUAACAGGUCUGUGAUGCCCUUAGAUGUUCGGGGCCGCACGCGCGCUACACUGAAGGUGUCAAAGGGUCGAGUCCUCGCCUGACAAGGUCGGGCAACCCGUGCAGAAACGCUUUCGUGCUAGGGACUGGGGCUUGAAAUUCUUGCCCACGAACGAGGAAUUCCCAGUAAGCGUGAGUCAUCAGCUCACGUUGAUUACGUCCCUGCCCUUUGUACACACCGCCCGUCGCUACUACCGAUUGAACGGUUUAGUGAGGCCCUCGGACGUGCCCCGGGCUGGCAGUCUCUGUCAGCCGCAGGCUGAGCGCGAAAGAUGGUCGAACUUGAUCAUUUAGAGGAAGUAAAAGUCGUAACAAGGUUUCCGUA